CCUGGGGUGCCCUGAGUCAGCCUGGGGUGUCCUGUGUCAUCCUGUUGUGUCCUGGGUCAUCCUGGGGUGCCCUGAGUCAACCUGGGGUGUCCUGUGUCAUGCUGGGGUGUCCUGAGAGAGUCUGGCGUGUCCUGUGUCAGCCUGGGCUAUCCUGACAUCCUGGGGUGUCUCUUGUCAGCUGGCGGUUUCCUGACUCAGCCUGGGUUUUCCUGUGUCAGUCUGCAGAUUGCGGAGUCAUCCUGGUGUGUCUUGAGUCAGCCUGGGUUGUUUUUGUCAUCCUGGGGUGUCCUGUGUCAUCCUGUUGUGUCCUGUGUCAUACUGGGCUGCCCUGAGUCAUCCUGGGCUGUCCUGUAGCAUCCUCGGGUGUCCUGUGUCAGCCUGGUGUUUCUUGAGACAGUCUGCGGUGUCCUGAGCCACCCUAGGUGUCCAGAGUCAUCCUGGGGUGUCCUGUGUCAACAUCCGGUAUCCUGAGUCAGCCUCAUGUGUCGUGUGUCAUCCUUGGGUCUCCUGAGUCAGCCUAAGAUGUCCUGUGUAAGGCUGGGGUGUCCUGUGUCAGCCUGUUGUGUCCUGUCCCAGACUUGGGUGUCCAGUGUCAUCCUGGGGUCUCCUGAGUCAUCCUGGGGUCUCCUGGGUUAUCCUGGGGUCUCCUGGGUUAUCCUGGGGUCUCCUGAGUCAGCCGGGGGUGUCCUUUGUCAUCCUCAGGUGUGCUGAAUCAGCCAGGGGAAUCCUGAGACAUCCUUGUGUGUCCUGAGUCAUCCUGGGGUGUGCUGAAUCAGCCAGGGGAAUCCUGAGACAUCCUUGUGUGUCCUGAGUCAUCCUGGGGUGUCCUGUUUCAGCCUGGGUUGUGCAGAGUCAUCUUGGGGUGUCCUGUGUCAGCAUGGGGUGAUCUGAUCCAUCUUCGGAUGUGCUGAGUCAUUCUGGGGUAUCAUGUGUCAUUCAGGGGUGUCCUGCAUCAGCCUGGGGAGUCCUGUGUCAUCCUGGGGUGUC
rnacentral:lncRNA from 1 species